rnacentral:tRNA from 1 species
GCGGGAAUAGCUCAGUUGGUAGAGCACAACCUUGCCAAGGUUGGGGUCGCGAGUUCGAGCCUCGUUUCCCGCUCCAAUU